rnacentral:rRNA from 1 species
AUUGAACGCUGGCGGCAGGCCUAACACAUGCAAGUCGAGCGGAUGAGAGGAGCUUGCUCCUCGAUUCAGCGGCGGACGGGUGAGUAAUGCCUAGGAAUCUGCCCAGUAGUGGGGGACAACGUUUCGAAAGGAACGCUAAUACCGCAUACGUCCUACGGGAGAAAGUGGGGGAUCUUCGGACCUCACGCUAUUGGAUGAGCCUAGGUCGGACUAGCUAGUUGGUAGGGUAAAGGCCUACCAAGGCGACGAUCCGUAACUGGUCUGAGAGGAUGAUCAGUCACACUGGAACUGAGACACGGUCCAGACUCCUACGGGAGGCAGCAGUGGGGAAUAUUGGACAAUGGGCGCAAGCCUGAUCCAGCCAUGCCACGUGUGUGAAGAAGGCCCUCGGGUCGUAAAGCACUUUAAGUUGGGAGGAAGGGCUUACAGCGAAUACCUGUGAGUUUUGACGUUACCGACAGAAUAAGCACCGGCUAACUUCGUGCCAGCAGCCGCAGUAA